GUGGGGAAUAUUGGACAAUGGGGGCAACCCUGAUCCAGCGACGCCGCGUGAGUGAUGAAGGCCUUCGGGUCGUAAAGCUCUGUUGCAGGGGAAGAACACAAUGACGGUACCCUGCUAGAAAGGAUCGGCUAACUUCGUGCCAGCAGCCGCGGUAAGACGAGGGAUCCUAGCGUUGUUCGGAAUUAUUGGGCGUAAAGCGGGUGCAGGUGGCUUGGUAAGUCAGAUGUGAAAGCCUGGGGCUUAACCCCAGAAGUGCAUUUGAUACUGCUGAGCUUGAGUGCUGGAGAGGCUAUUAGAAUUCCUGGUGUAGUGGUGAAAUACGUAGAUAUCAGGAGGAAUACCGGAGGCGAAGGCGGAUAGCUGGCCAGACACUGACACUCAGACCCGAAAGCGUGGGGAUCAAACAGGAUUAGAAACCCGGGUAGUCC
rnacentral:rRNA from 1 species